GUCUGCAUGGAGCCGGCCUUGAAAUACCACCCUUUAAUGUUUGAUGUUCUAACGUUGGCCCGUAAUCCGGGUUGCGGACAGUGUCUGGUGGGUAGUUUGACUGGGGCGGUCUCCUCCUAAAGAGUAACGGAGGAGCACGAAGGUUGGCUAAUCCUGGUCGGACAUCAGGAGGUUAGUGCAAUGGCAUAAGCCAGCUUGACUGCGAGCGUGACGGCGCGAGCAGGUGCGAAAGCAGGUCAUAGUGAUCCGGUGGUUCUGAAUGGAAGGGCCAUCGCUCAACGGAUAAAAGGUACUCCGGGGAUAACAGGCUGAUACCGCCCAAGAGUUCAUAUCGACGGCGGUGUUUGGCACCUCGAUGUCGGCUCAUCACAUCCUGGGGCUGAAGUAGGUCCCAAGGGUAUGGCUGUUCGCCAUUUAAAGUGGUACGCGAGCUGGGUUUAGAACGUCGUGAGACAGUUCGGUCCCUAUCUGCCGUGGGCGCUGGAGAACUGAGGGGGGCUGCUCCUAGUACGAGAGGACCGGAGUGGACGCAUCACUGGUGUUCGGGUUGUCAUGCCAAUGGCACUGCCCGGUAGCUAAAUGCGGAAGAGAUAAGUGCUGAAAGCAUCUAAGCACGAAACUUGCC
rnacentral:rRNA from 1 species